rnacentral:rRNA from 1 species
GAACGCUGGCGGCAUGCCUUACACAUGCAAGUCGAACGGCAGCGCGGGAGCUUGCUCCUGGCGGCGAGUGGCGAACGGGUGAGUAAUACAUCGGAACGUGUCCGUUUGUGGGGGACAACCAGCCGAAAGGUUGGCUAAUACCGCAUAAGACCUGAGGGUGAAAGCCGGGGACCGCAAGGCCUGGCGCAGACGGAGCGGCCGAUGAUUGAUUAGCUUGUUGGCGGGGUAAAGGCCCACCAAGGCGACGAUCAAUAGCUGGUCUGAGAGGACGACCAGCCACACUGGAACUGAGACACGGUCCAGACUCCUACGGGAGGCAGCAGUGGGGAAUUUUGGACAAUGGGGGCAACCCUGAUCCAGCCAUGCCGCGUGCGGGAAGAAGGCCUUCGGGUUGUAAACCGCUUUUGUCAGGGACGAAAAGGGACGGGUUAAGAGCUAGUUCCGCUGACGGUACCUGAAGAAUAAGCACCGGCUAACUACGUGCCAGCAGCCGCGGUAAUACGUAGGGUGCAAGCGUUAAUCGGAAUUACUGGGCGUAAAGCGUGCGCAGGCGGUUGGGUAAGACAGAUGUGAAAUCCCCGGGCUUAACCUGGGAACUGCAUUUGUGACUGUCCGACUGGAGUACGUCAGAGGGGGGUGGAAUUCCGCGUGUAGCAGUGAAAUGCGUAGAUAUGCGGAAGAACACCGAUGGCGAAGGCAGCCCCCUGGGACGCAACUGACGCUCAUGCACGAAAGCGUGGGGAGCAAACAGGAUUAGAUACCCUGGUAGUCCACGCCCUAAACGAUGUCUGCCGGUUGUUGGGGAUUUCUAUCUUCAGUAACGAAGCUAACGCGUGAAGCAGACCGCCUGGGGAGUACGGUCGCAAGAUUAAAACUCAAAGGAAUUGACGGGGACCCGCACAAGCGGUGGAUGAUGUGGAUUAAUUCGAUGCAACGCGAAAAACCUUACCUAGCCUUGACAUGUCAGGAAUGCUUCGUAAAUGAGGCAGUGCCCGCAAGGGAACCUGAGCACAGGUGCUGCAUGGCUGUCGUCAGCUCGUGUCGUGAGAUGU